UACGUAGGUGGCAAGCGUUGUCCGGAUUUACUGGGCGUAAAGGGCGUGCAGGCGGUUUGUUAAGUCUCGGGUGAAAGCUCCCGGCUCAACUGGGAGAGGUCCUUGGAUACUGGCGAACUUGAGGGAUGCAGAGGAAAGUGGAAUUCCCGGUGUAGUGGUGAUAUGCGUAGAUAUCGGGAGGAACACCAGUGGCGAAGGCGGCUUUCUGGGCAUUUCCUGACGCUGAGACGCGAAAGCGUGGGGAGCGAACCGG
rnacentral:rRNA from 1 species